GUUUUUGUGAUACAGAAGAGCUAGUUUUAAUGUGGAAAGCAUUAGAUCAUUAUCAAAGGCAUGUUUGUGAUAUUUCUGGGUGGCUCUUAUAUGAAGAGAAGUUAUGAUAAUGUACCAGAAUAAAUCACGGAAUAUUUAUUUUGAGAAACAUGCUCUGAGCCAAAAAUUAAAACACAUGGUGUGACAAAUAUGAGCAUACUGAUAUGGAUAAUUGGAUAAGACACCUGCAUUCAGGAUUGUUUUGGAAAAUAGGAGAGCAUGUGGUAACCAGCAUAUGCCUUGCAGAAGGGCUUAUCCAGAAUAGGAGGGUGAGGGUUUGGACAUAGGAAAGUAAUAGAGGCCGAAUGGGUUAGGGGCUUAAGAGAGGUGUUCAGGAAAGGGAGAGAGCUUGUCCAGUGGAGGUAGUCAGGGAAGACUUCAUAAAGGUGACAGCACAUAAUUGCAUCUUGGUAGAUGUAAAGGUUUUAAACAAGGGGCUAUAGGUAUGAGGGCCUUUUAGGUGAAGGCACCAGGUGAACAGAACCAAGUUUGGAAGCAAAACCUAUAGGAAGUACCAUUGGUAGUAUAUAAUUCUUUGGGGAGAGUAAGAUAAGGCAAGACUAUAAAGGCAGAUUCUAUUGUCUUGUGGGUCAUGUUGAAUGGGAGAUUUGGUGCUCUACCCAGGGUUGGGAAUAUAAAGGUGGAAAAAGUCAGGAAUGAAGACAUGUGUUUGGAAGAUGCAGAUUAAAUAGAAAUUAAUGUGGUUAGAAGUCAUUCAUGGAAAUAAGUGAGACAAAGGACAUUCAGUUAGAGAAGAGAAGUAUGGCCCAAAUCUUAGAUUUCUUGGGGUAUAAUGAGAUUCUGAAGAUUUAUCCAAUUUAGGAGAAAACUCUGGUUGAUUGAGAAUUAAGGCAGUGAAGAGAGGAGCAGGUAUCAAAACAGAAUACUUCUGAAAGACAGGGAAAACAGAAAAAGAGAGAAGACCAUGGAGUUGCUUUUUCAGUCCUCUAUAACCUCAGGAAUACAGAAUGGAUCUAUGUCCACAUUCUUCAGUGUUCCUGGCAGUUAGCAUGGAUGGCAGAAGAGUCUUAACACAGCAAGGAUGGCCACUACAGAGACAGAAGAUUGGUGUGGAAGAACCAUGAGACCUUCCUCGACAUUCUCAGAAUUGGUGGAGGAGCUCUGUGAAUCC